UAAAUUGCCUCUUCUUCUCCGAGCCUUGCCAAGCUUUUCGAUCUGCCAGUAUGAGUGUAUAACUGCUUCGAUCGAUUCUCAGCAUUUUUCCUACACUUCUCCUUUGUCUCUUCAUAGU